CCCAAAUGUGGGAAAAUAGCUACCAUGCUCUCUCUGGAAAAUGACUGAAGCAGGUAAAGUGGCCGCAGAAUCGGUUGGGGGUGACUAUGAAGGGCCGCUCCCACUGGAGCUCAAAGGCAUUUUACCACCUUGUUGUCAUGCAGAAGAGUAUAACCAUUUUUGGCCAGUGGAUUGUGAAAAGUGUGGUGUAGUCACUUCUAGGCAAAAGAGAUGGGCAAGACCCUCCAAGUGUCUCUUCCUACUCCAAUGACUGAAGAAGACAUCUCUUCCAGUUGGGGUGUUGAUAAGGUAACUCUCGACAGCCUUACCAAGACAUUUCAUCUGAUUACAGUUCCAAGUGGUCUUCAGGUCUCUGGGCAUUUCUAGUAGUUUCUGUCAUCUUUUCUACACAUGUACAUAUCCUGCCAUGUUUCUAAAAUCCCCAAGUCAAAAGUAGGUGUCCCCCACCAAUGAUAUCUUAAGAAAAUGUAUAUGCUUGACAUGUAAUAAUUGGAAAAUGUAUGUAUAAUUUACAUUAUGUAGUUUUUCAACUUUAUAAAGAAAAACAAGGUUGAAUCACUCAUACUAUCUGAUUUUAGGACUAUAAAGCUACUGUAAUUUCAACAGUGUGGUAUUGAAAACAGAAUAAAUGUACAGAUCAAUGGAACAGACUAGAAAGUGCAGAAAUAGACCCAUAUGUUUGGUCAACUGAUUUUCAAGAAAAGAUAAAGGGUGAGUAAGUUAAUGGAGAAAGGAAAUAUUUAAUAACUGGGGCUAGACCAACUGGACACAUAUAAAAACAAAACAGAACAAUAUAAAACUUUGAUCUGUACCUUGAAUUGUAUAUAAAAAUCAACUCCACAUGGAUCACAGACCUGAAUGUAAAUCUUAAAACUAUAA